rnacentral:rRNA from 1 species
AAGGAAGGUGGGGAUGACGUCAAGUCCUCAUGGCCUUUAUGUCUAGGGCUACACACGUGCUACAAUGGGUGGUACAAAGAGCAGCUAACUCGCGAGAGUAUGCAAAUCUCAAAAAGCCAUCCUCAGUUCGGAUUGGAGUCUGCAACUCGACUCCAUGAAGUUGGAAUCGCUAGUAAUCGCGGAUCAGCAUGCCGCGGUGAAUACGUUCCCGGGCCUU